AUUGAACGCUGGCGGCAUGCCUUACACAUGCAAGUCGAACGGUAGCGGGCCUUCGGGUGCCGACGAGUGGCGAACGGGUGAGUAAUGUAUCGGAACGUACCUUUCAGUGGGGGAUAACGUAGCGAAAGUUACGCUAAUACCGCAUAUUCUGUGCGCAGGAAAGCAGGGGACCUUCGGGCCUUGCGCUGAUUGAGCGGCCGAUAUCAGAUUAGCUAGUUGGUGAGGUAAAGGCUCACCAAGGCAACGAUCUGUAGCGGGUCUGAGAGGAUGAUCCGCCACACUGGAACUGAGACACGGUCCAGACUCCUACGGGAGGCAGCAGUGGGGAAUUUUGGACAAUGGGCGAAAGCCUGAUCCAGCCAUACCGCGUGCGGGAAGAAGGCCUUCGGGUUGUAAACCGCUUUUGUCAGGGAAGAAAUCUUCUGGGUUAAUACCUCGGGAGGAUGACGGUACCUGAAGAAUAAGCACCGGCUAACUACGUGCCAGCCGCCGCCGUAACAC
rnacentral:rRNA from 1 species